AGUAAAAUGCCUGAUUAAAGGGUUAUCGUGAUAGGAUAAAUUAUGUAACUGCUAUUACUUUUACUA
rnacentral:tRNA from 1 species